GCAAGUCGAACGGAAAGGCUCCUGCUUUCAGGGGUACUCGAGUGGCGAACGGGUGAGUAACACGUGGGUGAUCUGCACCGCACUUCGGGAUAAGCCUGGGAAACUGGGUCUAAUACCGGAUAGGACCACUUCUUGGAGGUUGUGGUGGAAAGUUUUUUAGGUGUGGGAUGAGCUCGCGGCGUAUCAGUUUGUUGGUGGGGUAAUGGCCUACCAAGGCGUUGACGGGUAGCCGGCCUGAGAGGGUGUAC
rnacentral:rRNA from 1 species